GACGAACGCUGGCGGCGUGCUUAACACAUGCAAGUCGAACGGAAAGGCCCUGCUUUUGUGGGGUGCUCGAGUGGCGAACGGGUGAGUAACACGUGAGUAUCCUGCCCUUGACUUUGGGAUAACUUCAGGAAACUGGGGCUCAUACCGGAUAGGAUCUCCUGCUGCAUGGUGGGGGUUGGAAAGUUUCGGCGGUUGGGGAUGGACGGGCGGCUUAUCAGCUUGUUGGUGGGGUAGUGGCUUACCAAGGCUUUGACGGGUAGCCGGCCUGAGAGGGUGACCGGCCACAUUGGGACUGAGAUACGGCGCAGAAGCCUACGGGAGGCAGAAGGGGGGAAUAUUGCACAAUGGGCGGAAGCCAGAUGCAGCAACGCCGCGUGCGGGAUGACGGCCUUCGGGUGGUAAACCGCUUUCGCCUGUGACGAAGAGUGAGUGACGGUAAUGGGUAAAGAAGCACCGGCUAACUACGUG
rnacentral:rRNA from 1 species